rnacentral:rRNA from 1 species
UCCAGACUCCUACGGGAGGCAGCAGUGGGGAAUAUUGCACAAUGGGGGGAACCCUGAUGCAGCGACGCCGCGUGGGUGAAGAAGUCAUUCGUGACGUAAAGCCCUGUCAGCAGGGAAGAAAAUGACGGUACCUGAAGAAGAAGCCCCGGCUAACUACGUGCCAGCAGCCGCGGUAAUACGUAGGGGGCAAGCGUUAUCCGGAUUUACUGGGUGUAAAGGGGGCGCAGACGGCGAUGCAAGCCAGGAGUGAAAGCCCGGGGCCCAACCCCGGGACUGCUCUUGGAACUGCGUGGCUAGAGUGCAGGAGGGGCAGGCGGAAUUCCUGGUGUAGCGGUGAAAUGCGUAGAUAUCAGGAGGAACACCGGUGGCGAAGGCGGCCUGCUGGACUGCAACUGACGUUGAGGCCCGAAAGCGUGGGGAGCAAACGGGAUUAGAUACCCCCGUACG